rnacentral:miRNA from 1 species
UGUGCCACUCACUUUCUUGCAG